UACGUAGGGGGCAAGCGUUUGUCCGGAAUCAUUGGGCGUAAAGAGCGUGUAGGCGGCCCGGUAAGUCCGCUGUGAAAGUCGAGGGCUCAACCUCGAAUGCCGGCGGAUACUGUCGGGCUAGAGUCCGGAAGAGACGAGUGGAAUUCCUGGUGUAGCGGUGAAAUGCGCAGAUAUCAGGAGGAACACCUACGGCGAAGGCAGCUCGCUGGGACGGUACUGACGCUGAGACGCGAAAGCGUGGGGAGCAAACAGG
rnacentral:rRNA from 1 species